GUAGAGUUAGUUUAACAAAAAUAAUAAAUUGUGGGUUUAUAGAUAAAUUUUUUUACUUUACU
rnacentral:tRNA from 1 species